CGCCAAAUCUGUAUGAACUCCACACUUAUCCAAGGGAGUUUCCAGGCGAAAGAACAGGAGGAAAUUUUCAUCCUCAGAUAAGAACAUGCUGGCAAGCUCUUUCAUCCAAGCAGCGAGUACUUCCAGGUUAUUUCCUGGAUCUGUCUCGUGAAGAAGACCCAUAAGUACUCUGUCGCUUCACCAUACCCACACUUGCCGCUUCAUGAGCGUGAACGUCCUUGAGACCUGAGAGCAGACUGAGAGAGGGGCUCUCACCAGGAGUUCUUCUGCCCACCAGAGAAGAUGAUGGCUUGAGAUCCAAGUAGACAUGAAGCUUCAGUCCUUGGUCGGCUUGAGGAGAAGCAGAAUCGUAGUGAUGGUGGCACAUGGCAAAGAAAGCUAUUUACCUCCUGGAAACCAGGAGCAGAAAGCAAGAGGCUCCCUGAGACGUACCCUUCAAAAGUGAACUCCCAGUGACCUGUCCCCCACUUGAGUCCCACUUCCUAAUAGUCCAUUCAGCUGUGGUUCAUCAAUGGGUUGCUGAGCUUAGCACACUUAUCUCUCAAUGGGACCACCAGCAAGGACACCACUUCCAUGGAAGAGCAGCCUGGGGUAUAUCAUAUCCAUUUUUUAUCUCCAUCCCUUUCUUGAACAAGUGAAAGAACCCAGUCACAAAUCCAUUCACUUACAAAACUAAAACAAUAAAAUAAUUCCUUUUAAAAAUGAUUCCUGUUCUACCAAGAUAUGGGGAACUGCAGCCUCACCCGCCUGCUGCUGUAAGAAAAUUAUGAGUUAAAGACCACUGGGGACUACAAAGAGCCCUUGUCUCAAAAAAACAAGUAAACUAGCUCAUUGAGAGCCCUUUAUUUGGGGCUGGAGAGAUGGCUCAGUGGUUAAAAGCACUCUUCCAGAGGUUCGAUGGCCAGCACCCACAUAAUGGCUCACAGCUAUCCAUAACUCCACUUCCAGGGGCACCAGGCAUGAAAGUGAUGUACAAACAUACAUGCAGGCAAAAUACAUACACAAAAUCAAAAAAAAAAAUAAAUCAUAAAUUAUCGGGGACUAUGAGGGUCCAGCCCCUUGAUAGUCCCCUCCCAGGGUCUGGGAAGAAGCUACAACCAGCUGAUAAUUAAUCUUUGAUGAAAAGAAAUGAAUCUAUGUACACAAAACUCCUUAGUUCAUACACUUUAUUAUUCUGUGAUAGUUCGCUCU